AUGGGGCCAUAUGUAUGCUGCAACUUUUAAGAUGCAACUUGAAACCGUUUUGCUCAAAUUAAUGAAUUUAGUAUGUUAUUAGUUUUGGGGAGGUUGUAUAUUCAUUGGAUUUGGUAUUAAUAUUCUGACUUUUAAUCUGGUUGUUGAGCAGACGGCUCUAGACUUUUGUAAUGGUAAAAAGCAGCUCUAUGCCUCUAUCGUUAUGAAUCCUCUUAAAGUCCAGAAGGCAGAUAUGGAUAUGGAUGGCAAAGGAUCUGGUGACUUUCACGCCCACUCAUUUAAGGCCCAUUGGUAAAGCAGUGGCAAAUGUCCAAAUGAAACAAUAUUAGUUUUUCACAUUUUCUUGUAUUUUGUAGUAUUAUAAAAAAGAGAUUAAAUUUAACAACAAUGUGGUGGAAAUACCUUUGUUUAUACCCUCCAAUCAAAUGAUGCCACAUCAGAUUUUUCACACGAUCUCACAUAAUAAAAUGAGUAAAAACUAACACACAUGAUCACAAUCCUCUUGUAUAUAUCCAAAUAUUAAUUAAAAAAACAAACACAAAACAAAAAUGUUGGAACCAAACCACUGGAGACGAAGGAGCACCCAUGAUGUUGUUUAGCCCAGGCACAUGAUGCUCGUCUCUAGCUUUUUAUUUGACAACGUCGUGUACAAGUCGACAAUCGAUUCUGCAAUAUCGCAAUGGGUUCAUCAAUCAUCAUCAUUGAUAGUGGAAUAAUUGAACCAAAUCUCAAAUUCAAAAACAGUGAAUUUUAGACGCACAAAAGAAAGAGAUUGAAUUUACAUGGUUGAACUUGAUAUAAAAAAUCCUAAUAUUUGGCAUAUAUUUAGACCUCAUUAAACUACAUUAAACUAUUUAUCAUAUUAAUAAAGCUUGUCUUCCCAGUUAGCUGGACUAGCUAGAGCACCAUAUGAGUUAGCCUUGCGCCAAAUUGUCCUCAAGAAAGGCAAUAAAUCUCAAAUCUAAAAAACAGUGAAUUUCAUACCCACAAAAGAAAGAGAUUAAAUUUACAUUGUUGAACUUGACAUAAAAAAUCCUAAUACCAAGCAUAUAUUUAGACCCAAUUAAACUACAUUAAACUAUCAUAUUAAUAAAGCUUCUCUCGCCCCUUCUAGCAUAUAUGUAAACCCCAUUAAACUACAUUAAACUAUCAUAUUAAUCAAACUAGCUGGUCGCAAAAUGUUCACGACUUGCAUAAUCAAUAGUAUUGUUUUGUUUUAAAAAGUUGAGCAAUGUGCAUAUUAAUUUAUGGGUCAUGCUAACGUUUUAAUACUACUUUUAUUGAAAAUGAAAAAAGCUGUCAAAAUAUUAAUUACUUUUUUUUUCCCAUAAAAAUUUUCUUUAAAUAGAUUAUUAAUGAGUGCCGUAAGGGCACUCGUUAGCAUUUCCCUUAAUUUAUUAAUAAAGCUAGUUGUAAAGAAGAGUAAGAAAAUAGAGCAGUUUGUCAAUGCAGUUCGCAACUUGGCUAGUCGCGAAGUGGUCAUAACUUAUCUAGUCAAUAGUUUUGUUUUUUUAAUUGUUUCUAGUUACCAAACAAGUUUUUUUUGGUUAAAAAUAGAAAUAUGUUUUCAAAAACAAAAAGCCAAGGAAAAAAAUAGUUAACCAACAUACCCUUAGAUUUAGGUCUAAGUUUAAGAUUCUAUCUGCUAUUCCUUGAAGUUUUAGAGUUAAGAAGCAGAAAUGUAUGUUUAAUUUAAGAUUCUCUUUGUUAAUCAAAAAUUUAUGUUUAAGAUGGAACAAUAAGAUAUUUGUUAAUAAUAACAUAUACAACUAAAAAGUCCAGUAAUAAAAUACAUACUUUUUUAUUAUCAAAAAUAAAUUAAUUAACUUGAAUAGUAAUAGAAAUGUAGAUUUUUAAACAUACAAGCUUAGUGUUUUUGUGGUACUUUUCAUUAUACAUUUAUUAACUUGUGACUGGGUUUUGUAGCGGAUAGCAAAAGGCAUAUGAGUUACUUGAGAGGGCUGAAAUGAGAAGGAGGGCUAUGGUCGAUUCUUUCCUGAAACAGAGAGAUCUUGAAGAAGAUUCAAUUGGAGUUUACUCUAGUUGGAUUUGGGUUGUCUGCACUUGGAUGGUAUGAGACAUACCAGUCUAGUGCAAGCUUCAAUCAUGUUGAAUCUGUGAUGGAGGAUAUCUAG
rnacentral:sRNA from 1 species